rnacentral:rRNA from 1 species
UGAGCAAUCUGCCCUUCUCUUUGGAAUAAGCGUUGGAAACGACGUCUAAUGCCGAAUACGACCUCCUUUCGCAUGAUCGGAGGUGGAAAGCUCCGGCGGAGAAGGAUGAGCUCGCGGCCUAUCAGCUAGUUGGUGUGGGUAAUGGCCCACCAAGGCGACGACGGGUAGCCGGCCUGAGAGGGUGACCGGCCACACUGGGACUGAGACACGGCCCAGACCAACCCGUACGGGGAGGCAGGCG